rnacentral:rRNA from 1 species
GAUGAACGCUGGCGGCGUGCCUAACACAUGCAAGUCGAGCGGCAGCGCGAGUAGUUUACUACUUGGCGGCGAGCGGCGGACGGCUGAGUAACGCGUGGGAACGUGCCCCAAAGUGAGGGAUAACUUCGAGAAAUCGGAGCUAAUACCGCAUAGUAUCUUCGGAUUAAAGAAUUUAUUCGCUUUGGGAGCGGCCCGCGUCGGAUUAGGUAGUUGGUGAGGCAAAGGCUCACCAAGCCGACGAUCCGUAGCUGGUCUGAGAGGAUGACCAGCCAGACUGGAACUGAGACACGGUCCAGACUCCUACGGGAGGCAGCAGUGAGGAAUCUUCCACAAUGGGCGAAAGCCUGAUGGAGCAACGCCGCGUGCAGGAUGAAGGCCUUCGGGUUGUAAACUGCUUUUAUAAGUGAAGAAUAUGACGGUAACUUAUGAAUAAGGAUCGGCUAACUACGUGCCAGCAGCCGCGGUAA